rnacentral:rRNA from 1 species
GUAGGUGGCAAGCGUUGUCCGGAAUUAUUGGGCGUAAAGCGCGCGCAGGCGGUUCUUUAAGUCUGAUGUGAAAGCCCACGGCUCAACCGUGGAGGGUCAUUGGAAACUGGAGAACUUGAGUACAGAAGAGGAAAGCGGAAUUCCACGUGUAGCGGUGCAAUGCGUAGAGGUGUGGAGGAACACCAGUGGCGAAGGCGGCUUUCUGGUCUGUAACUGACGCUGAGGCGCGAAAGCGUGGGGAGCAAACAGGAUUAGAUACCCUGGUAGUCCACGCCGUAAACGAUGAGUGCUAAGUGUUAGGGGGUUUCCGCCCCCCUUAGUGCUGCAGCUAACGCAUUAAGCACUCCGCCUGGGAGUACGGCCGCAAGGCUG